rnacentral:rRNA from 1 species
CCUACGGGAGGCAGCAGUGAGGAAUAUUGGUCAAUGGGCGGAAGCCUGAACCAGUCAAGUCGCGUGAGGGAUUAAGGCCCUGCGGGUCGUAAACCUCUUUUGCCGGGGAGCAGAGGUCCGGACGUGUCCGGGCCGGGAUAGUACCCGGAGAAAAAGCAUCGGCUAACUCCGUGCCCGCAGCCGCGGUAAUCCGGGGGAUGCGAGCGUUAUCCGGAUUUAUUGGGUUUAAGGGGUGCGUAGGCGGGCAUUUAAUCCGGCGGUCAAAUGUCGGGGCUCAACCCCGGCCUGCCGUCGGAACUGGGUGCCUUGAGUGGGCGAGAAGUAUGCGGAAUGCGUGGUGGAGCGGUGAAAUGCAUAGAUAUCACGCAGAACCCCGAUUGCGAAGGCAGCAUACCGGCGCCCUACUGACGCUGAGGCACGAAAGUGCGGGUAUCGAACAGGAUUAGAUACACCUGUAGUC